AUUGAACGCUGGCGGCAGGCCUAACACAUGCAAGUCGAACGAGUGGCGGACGGGUGCGUAUUGUCUGGGAAACUGCCUGAUGGAGGGGGAUAACUACUGGAAACGGUAGCUAAUACCGCAUACUAUCGGAUGUGCCCAGGGGGGAGUAGCUAGUAGGUGGGGUAAAGGCUCACGUAGGCGACGCUCCCUAGCUGGUCUGAGAGGAUGACCGGCCACACUGGAAGUGAGACAGGGUCCAGACCCCUACGGAAGGCAGCAGUGGGAAAUAUUGCACAAUGGGCGCAAGCCUGAUGCAGCCAGGCGGCGUGUAUGAAGAGGGCCUUCGGGUUGUAAAGUACGUUCAGCGGGGAGGCGUUACCCGCAGAAGAAGCACCGGCUAACUCCGUGCCAGCAGCCGCGGUAAUAC
rnacentral:rRNA from 1 species